ensembl:snoRNA Small nucleolar RNA U89
CAUCCAGAAACAACUAUUAAUAUUGUUUUCUUUUCUUUUUAAUCUUUUUCUUGUUUUUCUUCACAAUGCUAUACAACUCUGCAUGUACAUCCUUAAAAUUUGUCUUACAUCAUCUAGAUUUUUUCAAUAUAAAAUGUAAAACCAGAAACAUGAUUUUACUGGCCUUGCCUCAAUUUUUGAUGCUGCCUCCUUCUUCCUGGCAGCUGCCCACAGGGAGGGUUCACAGAGGACCCGAAGGAGAGCUAGGCAGGAGCUAUCUUAAUGCAACCCUGGAUCUGAGA